GUUUUCCAUUGGAACCGACAAGGUCCUGAAGGAAAGAGUCACAAUGCCAGCUCUCUCAGUGAAAGAGGAGAGAGGACAUCUCACUGGAUUUACACAACUCUUUCCAGACUCUCCAGUCUUCCUGAAGGAAACAGCUACAACAAACAAACAAUUAUGUGGAUUUAAAGGUACGAUAACCACUGAUCUCCUCUCUCAGAGACACUACACCUGAAAACUCUACAGAGGAACUGCUAUGCUACCGGAGGCUAACUGUGACUGACUCUGCCCUUCACCAUUCACACACAGAGGGAUUCUCAAGGAACCUGGCGAGAACGUUUAAAAACACACGAUCGGAUAGGUGACUUUUUUGUCAUUUUGGCUCCAAAUCCCUGAACUCCUAAUGAUGUAUGAAUCCCUAGGAGGAGUAAGACUGAAGCUCAUUCAAGUGCUCUCCUGCUCAAGGACCUGCCUCGAUCAUCACACAUCGUUUCCACAACAUUCCCAGAGUGCUUCUGUCACGUCAUAGCAACGUUUGCCCAUUUGUAAAAUGGUCCUUUAGCCAAAUACAGUGGCAAUUAUAUUUGUAUUUUGUAAUAAUAAAAAAUAACCCAGUGGGGGCUCUUCUCUCUGCUUGCUUGUACUACGGUUGUUUUACGAGAGCUCUUGUAAUGAUUUUACUCUCAUGUAGCCUAUGCCUCCCAAUCCGUCAUUUCAAAGCUAUUUUGAUCAAAUUCUUUCAACUCUGCACUGGACAUACCAAGGGGGUCUUGGGUCAAAACUAGUGCACUACAUUGUGAAUAAGAUGCACAAUAUAGUGAAUAGGUCGCCAUUUGAGACAACCAGAUAUACUAAUCUCCCUCCACUAGGUUCUCAGGAAUGGUCAAAGUUUUCCAUUCUAAAAUAACUUCUGUUGUC
ensembl:lncRNA